UGGAUUAGUGGCGAACGGGUGAGUAACACGUGGGCAAUCUGCCCUGCACUCUGGGACAAGCCCUGGAAACGGGGUCUAAUACCGGAUGAUACUUCUGCUCGCAUGGGUGGGGGUUGAAAGCUCCGGCGGUGCAGGAUGAGCCCGCGGCCUAUCAGCUUGUUGGUGAGGUAGUGGCUCACCGAGGCGACGACGGGUAGCCGGCCUGAGAGGGCGACCGGCCACACUGGGACUGAGACACGGCCCAGACUCCUACGGGAGGCAGCAGUGGGGAAUAUUGCACAAUGGGCGAAAGCCUGAUGCAGCGACGCCGCGUGAGGGAUGACGGCCUUCGGGUUGUAAACCUCUUUCAGCAGGGAAGAAGCGCAAGUGACGGUACCUGCAGAAGAAGCGCCGGCUAACUACGUGCCAGCAGCCGCGGUAAUACGUAGGGGCGCAAGCGUUGUCCGGGAAUUAUUGGGGCGUAAAGAGCUCGUAGGCGGUCUGUCGCGU
rnacentral:rRNA from 1 species